rnacentral:rRNA from 1 species
UACGUAGGUGGCAAGCGUUGUCCGGAAUCAUUGGGCGUAAAGGGCGCGUAGGCGGUUAAUUAAGUCAGAUGUGAAAACUCUGGGCUCAACCCGGAGAUUGCAUUUGAUACUGGUUAACUUGAGUGCAGGAGAGGACAGUGGAAUUCCUAGUGUAGCGGUGAAAUGCGUAGAUAUUAGGAGGAACACCAGUGGCGAAGGCGGCUGUCUGGACUGUAACUGACGCUGAGGCGCGAAAGCGUGGGGAGCAAACAGGAUUAGAUACCCUGGUAGUCCACGCCGUAAACGAUGGGUACUAGGUGUAGAGGGUCUCGACCCCUUCUGUGCCGGAGUUAACACAAUAAGUACCCCGCCUGGGGAGUACGGCCGCAAGGUUGAA